GAUUUAAACAGAGAUAGGAUUACAAAAGUAUACUAAGCACAAUAAAACUUAACCUUUGCUCGUAUUCGGUGCUGUUAUUAUUGACAGUAUUAAAAAAUUUCGCCAUAUUGAACUUUGAAGAAAUCGUGUUCUAUCAUUUUCCGACUGCUUCAUCUUAAGCAUCUCUAACGCGCUGCUAGGCAACUUCCCGUGAAUAUUCAGUUUCCGGUGUUCAACAAGAACAUUAUCAAUUCAUUGCUACAUCAAGAUAUGCUACACUUUUGGGAGCUGAAGUGGACGCAUAAUGAGAAGACCGAUGGAGUUAACGGAAAAGGAUGGAAAUCUCUUUUAUUGAAACCGAAUGAAAAUGUGGAGCCGAAGAAGUUAUACUUUCGCCAUACAUUUUUCUACGCAGUCCAUCCCAGAAGCUGAAUUAUUGGUUCUAGAUUUCGGCAAUUAUGAACAACGAGUUUCCAGCUACGCCAUGAAAGUCAUCUCGCUACCCAUUGCAAAUCUACGGAAACGUUCACCCUACUCAAUCCUCAGGACUCCAGCCAGGAAAGAACUUAGCAGAAAAUGUGGAAACAUCAUGAUAUCCCCGGAAUCGUGUUUUCUAGAAUACUUUUACAUCUAGCGUCCUCAUACCAGCUUAACGAUGUGAUUUAUAAUGCUUUUUAAAGCAAGCAGCGAUAUAUAUUGUAUACGGCUCAAAAAAUAAUAAAGUAAAACAUAUUUAUUGAUUUUAUUUCGAAAUUAUUUUUGACAAACAUAAAUAAAACAAAAAUAAGAAUACUGAAAUAUUUCAAACGCUGAGCAAACGGAAUUAAUAUACUUUAUUAGUUUUCUUGAAAGUUAUACUAUAGCUCGUAUUACUCAAAGUUAUACUAAUGCGGUAUUGUCAGAAUUUAAACUUAGACGGGGUCAACCAGGUGAAUAGCCAAAUAGAAUGACUUCUAAUCUAUUUAGCAUAGAUUUU